rnacentral:rRNA from 1 species
GAUGAACGCUGGCGGCGUGCCUAAUACAUGCAAGUCGAGCGAACGGAUGAGAAGCUUGCUUCUCUGAUGUUAGCGGCGGACGGGUGAGUAACACGUGGAUAACCUACCUAUAAGACUGGGAUAAUUUCGGGAAACCGGAGCUAAUACCGGAUAAUAUUUUGAACCGCAUGGUUCAAAAGUGAAAGACGGCCUUGGUGUCUCUUAUAGAUGGUUCCGCGCUGGAUUAGCUAGUUGGUAAGGUAACGGCCUACCAAGGCAACGAUGCGUAUCCGACCUGAGAGGGUGAUCGGCCACAGUGGAAGUGAGACACGGUCAAGACUACUACGGGAGGCAGCAGUAGGGAAUCUUCGGCAAUGGGCGAGAGCCUGACGCAGCAACGCCGCGUGAGUGAUGAAGGUCUUCGGAUCGUAAAGCUCUCUUAUUAGGGAAGAACAGAUGUGUACGUAACUGUAGCCGUCUUGACGGUACCUAAUGAGAAAGCACCGGCUAACUACGUG